rnacentral:tRNA from 1 species
AGGGAUGGAGCUCAAGGGUAGAGUACUUGCCUGGCAUGCAGGUGACCUGGGUUCAACCCCCAGUGGCCCCC